UGGGGAAUAUUGGACAAUGGGGGCAACCCUGAUCCAGCCAUGCCGCGUGUGUGAAGAAGGCCUUUUGGUUGUAAAGCACUUUAAGCAGGGAGGAGAGGCUAAUGGUUAAUACCCAUUAGAUUAGACGUUACCUGCAGAAUAAGCACCGGCUAACUCUGUGCCAGCAGCCGCGGUAAUACAGAGGGUGCGAGCGUUAAUCGGAAUUACUGGGCGUAAAGCGAGUGUAGGUGGCUCAUUAAGUCACAUGUGAAAUCCCCGGGCUUAACCUGGGAACUGCAUGUGAUACUGGUGGUGCUAGAAUAUGUGAGAGGGAAGUAGAAUUCCAGGUGUAGCGGUGAAAUGCGUAGAGAUCUGGAGGAAUACCGAUGGCGAAGGCAGCUUCCUGGCAUAAUAUUGACACUGAGAUUCGAAAGCGUGGGUAGCAAACAGGAUUAGAUACCCUGGUAGUCCACGCCGUAAACGAUGUCUACUAGCCGUUGGGGUCCUUGAGACUUUAGUGGCGCAGUUAACGCGAUAAGUAGACCGCCUGGGGAGUACGGCCGCAAGGUUAAAAACUUAAAGGAAUUGACGGGGUC
rnacentral:rRNA from 1 species